rnacentral:rRNA from 1 species
CGAACGGGUGAGUAAUGCGUCGGAACGUGCCGGGUAAUGGGGGAUAACGCAGCGAAAGUUGUGCUAAUACCGCAUACGCCCCGAGGGGGAAAGCAGGGGAUCUUAGGACCUUGCGUUAUUCGAGCGGCCGACGUCUGAUUAGCUAGUUGGUGGGGUAAAGGCCUACCAAGGCGACGAUCAGUAGCGGGUCUGAGAGGAUGAUCCGCCACACUGGGACUGAGACACGGCCCAGACUCCCACGGGAGGCAGCAGUGGGGAAUUUUGGACAAUGGGGGCAACCCUGAUCCAGCCAUUCCGCGUGAGUGAAGAAGGCCUUCGGGUUGUAAAGCUCUUUCGGCAGGAACGAAACGGCGGGCUCUAACAUAGCCUGUUAAUGACGGUACCUGAAGAAGAAGCACCGGCUAACUACGUGCCAGCAGCCGCGGUAAUACGUAGGGUGCGAGCGUUAAUCGGAAUUACUGGGCGUAAAGCGUGCGCAGGCGGAUUGUUAAGCAAGACGUGAAAUCCCCGGGCUUAACCUGGGAAUGGCGUUUUGAACUGGCAGUCUAGAGUGCGUCAGAGGGGGGUGGAAUUCCACGUGUAGCAGUGAAAUGCGUAGAGAUGUGGAGGAACACCGAUGGCGAAGGCAGCCCCCUGGGAUGACACUGACGCUCAUGUACGAAAGCGUGGGUAGCAAACAGGAUUAGAUACCCUGGUAGUCCACGCCCUAAACGAUGUCAACUGGUUGUUGGGGGAGUGAAAUCCCUUAGUAACGAAGCUAACGCGUGAAGUUGACCGCCUGGGGAGUACGGUCGCAAGAUUAAAACUCAAAGGAAUUGACGGGGACCCGCACAAGCGGUGGAUGAUGUGGAUUAAUUCGAUGCAACGCGAAAACCUUACCUACCCUUGACAUGUCCGGAAUC